GAUCAUGGCUCAGGACGAACGCUGGCGGCGUGCCUAACACAUGCAAGUCGAGCGGGGAAUAUUGAGCAGCUUGCUGCUUGGUAUUUCUAGCGGCGGACGGGUGAGUAACGCGUGAGCAACCUGCCUUUAUCAGGGGGAUAACGCAUCGAAAGAUGUGCUAAUACCGCGUAAGACCACAGCUUCACAUGGAGCAGGGGUCAAAGGAGUAAUCCGGAUAAAGAUGGG
rnacentral:rRNA from 1 species